GGGGGUGUAAUGGUUUCGACAUUAUACUAGAAGUAGGAAUAGCAAGUAGUGGAUUCUCGUUGGCCACUUAAAAAACGAGAAAAUAAAUAUAAACGCUGAUAAUAAUAGAGAAUUAGCACUAGCUGCCUAGGUGCAGCUACACUUUAACUUAGCUCCCCACAAGCUUUGUUGAAGUGCCGAUUUUGUGGGAAACAAAACUACCUUUGCUUCUAAGGUAGUGGGUAUUUUAAAAAGCUAUAUCUAAAAUUAGCCUGUUUGCCGGCGAAUUUUAGAUGAAAAUAAAAGACAAAAUAAACUUGUAGAAGUUCUUGUGGAAGGUAUAAUGGACAGGAGUUCGACUCUCCUCACCUCCACCA
rnacentral:tmRNA from 1 species